UUUGCACUAUUAAUCAGAAACUGUUCACAGAUUAUGGACUUGUUUCCUUCAUGCAGUGCAUAGAAAAAUGAUUAUCAUACUCACUUUACCCUUGCGUGGCUUGACUCUGUCGAGCACAGAUCGCGUACGGGUCAUUAUUGUAUGACACAUUUU